AUGGCGGCCCAGCCUAGGCGCUGGCUGCCACCACCGCCGGGUGUGAUGAAGGUUAAUGUCGAUGGUGUAGUGGCACGGCACAAAAGGGGAGGUGCGGUCGCAGCUCUAUGUCGGGACUCCAAUGGCGUGUACUUGGGUUCGUCGGCAAUGGUAUUUUUUGGAAUCACCGACCCGGUCAUCUUGGAAACUUUCGCGUGCAGAGAAGCGCUGGCUCUUGCAGAUGACCUCACCAUCCAGACCGUUUUGGUGGCCUCUGACUGCCAGGAGGUGGUGAAAGACAUAAAAUCAGGAAGAGGAGGUCCUCAUGCGGCAAUCGUACAUGAAUUCAUAGAUCGUAGCAAUUUCUUUACUUCUUGCUCUUUUGUUCAUGAGCGUAGAAACUUUAAUUUUGAAGCACACAAUCUUGCCAAGUUUGCUUGUAAUUUAAGGCCCGGGCAACAUGUUUGA
rnacentral:rRNA from 1 species